GAACUUUAUAAAUCUCUCAGACUCAAGUGUUUGACAAACCCCCUUGAUUUUGUUUCACUCCUGCUGACACCAUUGUGUACACGAGUGGCAUCGCUCUGGCUCCGCAGGCAUCCAUUCCAAUGUGCCAUGGGGAUCCCAUCCCUAAAACCCCAGAGAGAAAACCCCCUCUGAAUGUGCCCCAAGGCCUCUGGGGAAGGCUCAUUCAGUUUUCAGGUGCUUCAGAGACCCUUUGGCAACUGCUCAUGUGGGGAAGGUGUAAAACUUAAAAUCUUCCAGCCACGUUAGAGGAUGGAACAGGAAAAACUUCCUGGUUUCAGCAGGACCAAUGGGGCUUGUGGACUUCAUCUCAAGGACCUGAUUCUGUGUGACCCUGCGUGGGUCUCAUUUGGACGUGGCACAUCCUCUUCUGGGCUACUAUGAGAAUGUGGAUCCGUCUUAUUCUACCUGAGAUAUCACAGGAUAUGAAAAUCUGCUUCAGCUGCACCUGGGAGGAAAGAGAAGCCAAAAUCUUCCUCUAGAGUGGGAUUUUAGGAGCUGCUGAUCUCUCCCUGGUGAGUGGCAAGACGGAGCCUGAAUUUAUCUUUUAUCUCCAAACGAAGCAUCACAUCUAAAGCACAGCGAGCAAAGAAUGCAUCCAAAACGGCCUCCUCGGCCUCAUGGACGUUGCGAGUACUCUCCACAGUGCUGCCCGGGCUUGUCUGGGAAUGGGAACGGCUGUUGGGAGCUCUGGCAGAGCACCUGGAGACCAGCCCUUGGCUUCCCACAGGUGGUGCUUUAGGAAAGCCCCUGCAGCCUGGGAAGGUGCUUUUGGCUCCGGACACAUUCCCAGCCCCCGGGAGCAGCAGGACCUGUGCUGUCCCCAGCAGGACAGGAAAAACCACUUAACUCAUCCCAUCUUUGCCAAAAGCUUUGGUGUUUGAGCAGCCAAACCCAGCGGGCUCCGGCCCUGGCGGAAUGUGCUGGAGGGCCCCUGGUGCUUCCCAUGGUGUGGGAUGCUGGACUUGCCUCUGUGGAUGUGUACUGAGCUCUUGCUGCAGGGGACUGUCAGUGGCUGUGAGUUCCUGUCCUUCUCACUGGGGAAUUGGAAAUAAUUCUUAAUUAAUUAAUUGCAGAAAUAUUUCUGGAACCUUUCUCCUUUCACACCUCACUGUGUGGGACAAGGACAGAGAGAGCGAGCAGAGGAGCGGCCUUGGGUCGGAGAGGGGCAGGAGAAAGGCACUGUGGGCAAAGGGACCUCCCUGGUGUCACCAGGGCACCUGUGGGGAACAGAAUGGACACUUUGAGGGCAUAUGGAGGUGAGGAGUGGACAGUCUGGGGCAAAAUCUGAGUUCAUCUACAUAUAUAUAUAUACACACAUAUAUAUAGGGGAUAUUUUUGAGGGAAAAGCUGAGGUACUGAGUUCACCCACCUUGCCCCGAGUUGUGUUUGCACAAAGCGGGACCAGAGGUGAAGGUCAAUCCAAAGCCAACCCUGCUCAACCUAUAAAUCCCAGGAUAAGUUCUACAAGCUGCCCAUUGAGGGACUAAAAAUACAUUAAAAAUGGAACCAAGAGCAUUAAGAAGAUUCCUGGGAAUCCCA